rnacentral:rRNA from 1 species
UACGGGGGGAGCAAGCGUUGUUCGGAUUUACUGGGCGUAAAGGGCGCGUAGGCGGCCAGCACAAGUCAGUUGUGAAAUCUCCGGGCUUAACUCGGAAAGGUCAACUGAUACUGUGCGGCUAGAGUGCAGAAGGGGCAACUGGAAUUCUCGGUGUAGCGGUGAAAUGCGUAGAUAUCGAGAGGAACACCUGCGGCGAAGGCGGGUUGCUGGGCUGACACUGACGCUGAUGCGCGAAAGCGUGGGGGAGCAAACAGG